UACGUAGGGUGCAAGCGUUGUCCGGAUUUAUUGGGCGUAAAGAGCUCGUAGGCGGUCUGUCGCGUCGGCUGUGAAAUCCCGAGGCUCAACCUCGGGUCUGCAGUCGAUACGGGCGGACUUGAGUACUGCAGGGGAGACUGGAAUUCCUGGUGUAGCGGUGAAAUGCGCAGAUAUCAGGAGGAACACCGAUGGCGAAGGCAGGUCUCUGGGCUGUAACUGACGCUGAGGAGCGAAAGCAUGGGGAGCGAACAGG
rnacentral:rRNA from 1 species